UUCAUCUUUUUGUUUUCUUUCACUGCGCAGCUACUCCCAUCUCACUCUGUCCCCGCUGCCGACCAUCCAUUUUGUUGUCAUUCUCGUCGAUUCCGUGCAAAGGUGAGUCACCGUUGAACGUCCGACCUCGACCCUCCGCUCUUCUUUCUUAGUUCGUUGUGCGUCGCUGUUCAAGACUUUAAACCGAGACCUCUCUCGCCACCGAUCGUGGUGUCGCGGUUUUCCGUGGUCGUCGAGUGGUUGGACCGCUCGUGAAGAAGGUUGCACCGGUCUGGUAACGGUGUGUCUUACCUUCUUCGGCCAUGGGUGGCCACUAUCGAGUACCUUUCGAUCGUUUUGGGCUUCCUUUGGGCAGCCAAGGUUGUCGUUCCACCAAGCCAUGGCUGCUGCCAUGGUGCUUGUCACCGACAGUCGUGGGGCAGCAGUAGUUGCUGCCAUAUUUGUUCGGCAGUCCCUUUAGUUCGAAUCAAAUCCCACUGCCCGGUGAUAUCGAAUCGGAAUCAAAUCUAUCGCCUCCUCCACCGUUACCGGUUAACUUUGAACCAAAUCGGGUUACAAGAAUCGACAAUGAGUAUCAGAGCCGAUUCAGUUUGAUCCAUGGUUGGGCCGAUCAUGGGAAGCGCAAUUGUCGUGGUUAACUAUUUGUCGAGGUGUGUUUAUUUUCGGUGCUGCAUUAUUUUAUUUGGUUGUUUAUUUGUUUGUUAGUUGAAAUUGAAUGAAAACAUGUUCGUCUGUGGGACUGUUUGUGCUAUAAAUGUCAUGGGUUAUUUGUUAAAUUAUUGGAAUCAGAAUAUUGCUGUGUAUUUAUAAUAUGAGAUUGUGUUGUGAUAUCGGAAUCGGAAUAUAAGUGUUUCGGAAUAUUUGUUAUUAAAUAUUGCUAUUCGGAUCAUAUCAGAAUUCAAAUAUAUGAUAUUCGAGUAUGUGUUAUUUAGAUAUAUCUUAUUUGAAUCUGAUCAAAUAUCGGAUAUGUGUCAUUUGUAUGUCAUAUUGAGACGAAUUUUGAUAAGGGAAGUUAAGUGCAUUCACUC